UCCUUUGCACGUCACUGACAGAAUAGAACACCAAUUUUUGGUAUAUUUAAUGAGAAAAAUAUUAGAGACUUGUGCCCAGAACAAGUUGAUCUAUGGACUUGUGGUAGGUAAACUUUUGUAGAACUGGAUAUGCUGCGAUCAACGAUGCCAAAGGUUUUUGUUUAAUAUUUGACAUUGACGUUCGAAUUUUUUGUUGGCAGUUCUCACCUUUCGUUAUUCAUUAUCGGUAGUCGCUUUCAACAGAAUUGUGGUGUGUCUGAAGUGCUUUUAGUCGAAAUGCAUAACCAUUUACAUAGUAAAGCUAAGGAAUGGGAGGCUAGUUUCAUCCAUUAUUUUGAAAUGGACUAUGAAGAUUGUGAUCCUUUAUUUCCAUUGGGAAGAUAGAGGAGUGUAUCCUUAUAUAAAAGCAACUUUGUUCAUAUUUUUAUUUUAGCGUUCGUAGACGUUACCAUAGUAUAAUCCUUCAUCACUAGAUACUCAACUCCUUUUGGAAAUACAUACCGAUUUUUUCAGCGUAGCAUUUACGUAUAUGCGUUGUGGUAAUGUCCCAACAACAACUUUUGGUAUCUGAAAAAACCGUAUAUUCGUUUAAAGGGUUCCCUCCUACUGCAUAAAUUUGUUGUUACUAUUUGCCUUAUAACGUGAACUGUUGUUUGGAGAAAACAAAAUGAAACGUGGGUAGAUUUGUUCGUCGUUGGACUCCUUAUCUGUCGCAUUCCUCCAAAUCCCACCCAGAUUUACGCAGGCUCACCAAUAAAGCUCUAACGAGCCUCCGUACGUACAGAGAAUUUUAUAGGGUAGAAAAAAUGCACAAUCUAAAUUAUAUAGAUACGGAAUUAUAAUCUUGUGUGUGUGAAUUUUUGUUUAUGCAUUGUAAGGAAAUCAAUUAUUUCAUUUAUGUAUAACCCGGUUUUUUAUUUAACCGUAAGACACGUUGAUACAGUCACCCGCAGACUGGUAUCUCGGAUACAUCUGUAACAUUGCGUCUUAUGGAGCCGUUCACACACGCAUACUUCUCGCAUACAGUACCGGCGACUAAAUUUCGGUUUCCCGCUAGGUCCAGUCGCCCGGAGAUUUUACGACUUUAGGGAACUGAUGGGCUAUUGGUUCAUAUGGAACUCUUUACAGGAGGGUACCUUUUCAUUAGCAACCGGUCAGUGCUGUUCGUCACCUCCGCCCGAAGAAACAAAAUAGUCAUAAAAUGGAGCGCACCUUUGAUGUAUUGUAUAGUAAAAUGGCUUCUGCAACGUCAAUUUUAUCAGGUGUGGUGUGACUUUACAGAAACCCGCCCGCCACUGCACUGAAAAUCGAAGUACCUCACUGCGUAAGGCUGGAAUUCUGAUGACAAAGAUACAGUAUUUCGCAUACAGUACCACCGUGUAAAAGAGCUCUAAGGAAGCUAAAAGAUGCAAAUAGAGUAAAUAAAUAAAUACUGCACUAUGUGUGCAUAUUUAGGGUGAGAUAAAUGAAUCAGAUCAUUGUAAUAAGGUAAGAACAAAGAGAUCCGAGUUAAAUACGUCUAUCGCAACCCAAAGUUAAAUGACAAAUAAUGAGACAGGAGGCUUUAAGCGGCGUUACAUGGGGCGAACCUGCGCCGCGUUGUCGCAAAGCGCGAGGUGCAAUUUUAAGUCAAUCAGUCCUCUGAAUGGAUCCCGAAGACUGAAAUUAAUCCAAUAGCGAAAAUCAUAUCGAUCGAGCCACCGUCAUGCUGCGGACGAAGGUUUUCGCAGCAUUUCGAAGAAAGAAAACAAGAAGCUUGAACAUAUCCACGGCGUACCAGGAUGCCAGAAGCGGCGUAGGUAGGUGCGGAUAGCGCCGAUCCUGACGAACGGAGUUAGGUCAGAGCCGGGACGUGAUGACAUGCGGUGGCGACGUCUUGAGCCAAAGCGACCAGCCUCAGUUGCUUAUGUAGGGAAGGUAGGCUUGCCCAGGCACAAGUGGUUUUUGCUGGCCCUUGGUGGUGCUUAUUAACAAUUCGUCGAGGCGUCCGGCGUUGCGGCGAAUGGGGCGUUUGCUGGUAGUGGGGUCCUUCCCUGGCGUUCCUAACAACGGCGGGAAGUCUAUAGUCGGUCCGUGCAUAGUACAGCUGGAUGCAAGAUAACUCUCCUUGUGAGUGAAAGCCGUGACCCGAACUCGUCUAGAACUGGUGGUGCACAAACGAUAAAGGUAUUUAGGAACAAUCGAUGCGAAGUAUGUUUUGCGAAUCAAUGUUUCUUAACUAUUUGCUGUACAGGAUUGUUACGCUUCAAACCCCAUUUACUAAUUAUGUUAUUCUAUUGCAGCAAGAACAUACCUUAAAGAAAAUAAGAACCGUUUCAUAAUUUAAUAAAGAUUAUUGACUUAUUAUUUAUCCCUUUACCUUUUUCCUUAAGAGGCCAGGAGAGAAUUACUAACUGAUAGCUAUCGGGCGCACAUUAUACAUAAUUCCAUAACAAGAACCACCCGUAAUUUAAUUAAGGUAUGCGAAGAUUAGCCAGAGGUAGGAUGGAGUAGAAGAGGUAUUUGUAACAUCCGUUACAAAAUGACACCCAAAAACGGGGCUUACGUAUUAGAGUGUUCUGGAGAAGCGAUGAAAAUAACGGGAAGGACACACAAACAGGAAUUGAUGCUUCACUUGACCUUCACUGUGGAAUACUGUUUGUUGAAAUCUAAGAACCUCGUGCGUUGCCGGAUGUUUCUACUAUCGUUCUGUAUUUUAGUUCAAAAAGGUAUUUGGGCAUUUGCUUUUAUGCUUUCAGAGAAAUGUAUGUAUCUGUGCCACUAAAUUACAUUCCCAACAGUUUCUUUUUGAAUCAAACAGCAUAGAUAAAAAAGGUUUUGUAUAAUAUAAAAAAUCUAUAAAAGUAUAAUCAGCAUUGUUACAGACUCGCUUCAGAAGCUUCUUGCGAUACGACCGAUGUCUGAGACUGAUUAGGGCAACUGCUUUUCCUUCUGCACACCCGCUUCCUCUUCCUUGAACAACUUCGUCUGCGCAUCCUUCUUUUUCUUCGUUUGCAAGUACGCCUCUUUAUUUUCCGUUUGCAUUUGCGUCGUCUCUUCUGUAACUUACAUCUGAGCUUCCUUCGCCCAGGUUUACACUUAGUUCGAAAGGGCUUAGCAGCCCUUCCGGCCUGUGCUGCUCUGCACUGGUACUUUCUUCUGCGAAAUUCACUCAUGUUGCACCACCGGCGAGCUCCUUCGAGCGUCAGCUUGCAUGAAAGCCACGUGGGGUAUUUCUUACGCAGCUCUUGUAAGAAAUUUAAAAAGGGAUUUUUCGAAAAGCGGGAGUUUUUUCGUCUUUUGCAGAUUACGUUUGUGCCCUUCUCUCUACGUCUACGUCUUCUACAUGCCAUAAUUUCGGAAUAAAAUUCUCUGAAAGGUCAAACUAAAAUUUUGAAGUUAACAAAACAAUCUUGUUUGAUACGUUAGUAACGCCCAGACGACUACGUAGUUUCACAAAUUUCCUAUGCAACUAACAAAGUUUGUCUAUGGUUACCACUUUAUUUUCCAAGGAGACGUAAAAACAAUUUUGUUUCAUAAGUUAGUAACGCCCAGACGAUUACGUAGUUUCACAAAUUUCCCAUGCAAGUUACAAAGUCUGUCCAUGGUUACCACUUUAUUUACCAAGGAUACGUAGCAUGUCCGGAGAAAUACAGACAUUUACACGUCGAUAUUUCAGAAAGAAGAGAAAUGUGCAAGAAUUCGAAAUCUGAAAUAAAAUGGACAACUUGGGGUUCACGAUUUCCAAGCAAGGUAUAGGCAUUUUCGGGUUUCAAAACACCCAUUUUUUUAAUACUAGUGCUUUUGAUUACUUAAAAGGAGCGCAGUUCUAGGGUGUACUCAAGCAAUAAAUGGCUUGAGUAAUAAACUAAUAAUUACAUAUUACAAGAGAGAAAAUUUUGAAGACAAAAAUGACAUGAAAGCCUGUUGCUUGGCAAAUUCGCAAAUGACAUUUGUAAAAUGAAUGCCAUGAGUGAAAUUGUCAAAGAACUAAACCCGACGAAAAUUGAUAAAACAAAUUUUUCUCGAAUAAUAUUCGAGACGAAAUCAAACAUCCAAACAGACAUGCUCAUUUAACAAAAUAAGGUAACUGUGAUUUGUGGCUACAGGUAAGAGCUUUGCUAUUAAAAGACUGCCGCUAGUAAUACCAUUUUGCCAGUAGUUCAAGGUCUGGCGAUAAACGUCACUUUUCUGACGAGAGGAAAGUUUUACACAAUAUUUGCGCAUUAUGGUUACUGCUAUUUACCACCCCCACGUUAGUAAGGGAGCAGAAGACGUAGUCGCCUUGAAAAUAUACACGAGACAGCAGGAGCAGAGACCGAAAACCUGAAUGCGAAAGGAGCAGAUCACGCAGCCGGAAUGACGUGACGUGCUGGUAUCAUUUCAAAUUCGGCAACAAGACCCGCACACGCACAUGUCAAGUACCAUACAAGAAGAUUCAGGGAAACGACCAGCCCUCCGUUAACAUCGGUUACGAAAUGGACACAUAACCACCGCCGACUCUACGUAACCAACCGCUCAUCAAAAGUAGUUUUUAAUAUAGGUACACCGGCGCUGAAGUCUGCACAUUCCCAAGGAGGUAAACAGCCUACAAAGAGCUCAACACUUCUACAGCACUUUGAAACGAGGUACCGAGGUGUACAAAAGGAUGUGCAUCAGCGUAAAAAUCUAAUCUGCUCCAACUUUUAUAUACUACCGCUGCAUCAUAGAGUAGAUCAACCGCCGCUCCUCUACAAAUGCUCAAGGUUUACCGCUGUCAACAGCGUAGAUCUAAACACUUUUACAACUCCGGAGAGGGAGAAGAAACAUCAAAGUAACGUGCUAAAGAACUUUCCCGCUGGAACAGCAAGUAUUACCUUUGUCAUGGACUCCAAAACCUGUUCAUAGAAAACAAAUCCCCUGGAAGCUGGUUUAGUGACCCAUGUUGCAGUGCCCUAAGGAGUCUCUGCCAGGUCCGCUUACCGGAUCCUCGAUGCUUCCCCCUUUGUUCAUUAUUCCGUCGUUUAUCGCUACCAAAAUGUUUCAAUCCUUGUUGAUGUUAGAGUCAAGUUGUUCAAUGUUACAAUUUUUGCUGUGU